UUAGGCAUUGCAGCCUUAUUAGAGUCAACUGGCUUCCUGUUAGAGUAGGCAUUGAAAGAUACAGAAUCCGGAUUAAAAUGAGAGGGAGACUGAACAUGCCUUUGUUUCUCAUCAUUCAGGAGGAUAUUAUACACACUGUCAAGGUUUGGAGGGGGCUGCAUCAUCAAAAUAUUGCUCCUCACCCCCAUGUAUGUGUCAUUGAGGCCCAUUAAAAACUGAAACACUUUAGAGUCAUCAUUUUCCUUUAUUAUACCUUCCUUAGCAAAACACACACACCUUUGCCCAUGGUUCACACACAUAGAUUCAACUUCAUCCCAUAGACCUUUGAGUCUAUUAAAAUAGGAUGCUAUAUCUAGGGACCCUUGAGAGGUGUUACACAUCUCUCUUUUCAAUUCAUAAAUUUUGGUCCUAUUGGCAGUACCAUAACGUGCCUGAAGUUGUGACCAUAUACUUUAAGCAGUAUCAGAAUAAUGCACGGACUCAGCAAUCGCAUGAGAAAUAGAAGCAGUUAGCCAUGAAAUUACCAUACUAUUACACCUAUCCCAUAAUCUCUGUUGAGCCACAUUAGUGGCUGGUCGAGGACAGGUUCCAUCUAUAAAACCAAUUUUAUUUUUGGCAGUCAAAGCAACAAUUAUUUUUCUUCUCCAUUCCCCAUAACCAUCACCCGAGAAAGGUGUGGGGACAAGAGAUACUCUGGGAACAUCGGAGGAGUAUAGGAAUAGAGGACUUGAAGAGUCCAAAAUACCAGUAUUGGUGUUAACAGCCAUGAUAUAUCAACAAGGAAAACCAGAUUCAACAACCAGAAUGUGACAAACCAAAUAUCCACACACAAAGCCAACUAUUCAAACACAAAACCAAAAUCAAUACACACAAACCAGGUAAUAUUGAAUUUUAAGACAUAUUAUNNNNNNNNNNNNNNNNNNNNNNNNNNNNNNNNNNNNNNNNNNNNNNGAUACACACAAACCAGGUAAUAUUGAAUUUUAAGACAAAGUUACCCUCCUUCUUCGCUACCGGAAGAAGAUCGGCCUUCAAAUGAUAGUGAAAACCCUAAGUAUGAAACCCUAGGUUCAGACGUCGAGUCAGUCACCGGAGAUAUGAGAAACGAUGUCGGAAGGUUACCCAAACAUCCACGAGAUGAGAAUCGGACCACCGGAAGACGGUAAAACAGUAAGUCAAAACCACCGAAAACCCUAGAUACCGAUAACUCACCAAAAUCACCCAAAACCGAUCAAAACGUUGUUAAAAGCGUUGAGGAUAGGAAGAUACACCCGGAUAUCAUGGUGUAAAACACUUGGAACCAUGUUCGAUCAAAGUCGGAAUCAUCAUUGACCAUUCGAUCUCAGAAAAAUUCUCAAAAAUCGUCAAACAAAUGCUCAAAAGUGACACCGAUAUGCAAAUAAACAUGAUCGGAUCGUUGUAAGGCUCUGAUACCAUGUCAAUAUUCAUAUAUCAGGUCUAGUAUGUGUCAAAAAUAAAAGCUUACCCACUAGACUCCUAAAUUGAUCAGGAGAGGGUAAGAGGUCACCACAAUCAGCAAUAAGUUUGACAUUUGUAUCCAAAGGACAGACAACAGAAGAUACAUUAGAACAGUCAAACUGAUGCAACAGGUCGGAAAUAUAUUUCUGCUGAUUGAGGAUCAUUCCACCAGGAACAUGAGACAUCUGAAUCCACAAGAAAUAAUGCAAGGACCCGAGGUCCUUGAUUUUAAACUGAUCAUCAAGAAACAGUUUCAGUGCAGAGAUUUCAUCAUUGUCUUCCCCAGUGAUAAUAAUAUCAUCCACAUACACUGCUAGAAUAACUAAAGACCCAGAUGUGCCUUUGAUGAAUAAAGAAUAGUCAUUCAAGGAGUGUUUAUAGCCUCUGAGAGAAAGAGCAUGAGACAACUUGGCAUACCAUUGUCUGGAAGCCUGACUCAGCCCAUAAAGAGAUUUUUUGA
rnacentral:lncRNA from 1 species